rnacentral:ncRNA from 2 species
ACCCGCUUGUCGGGGUGCCGAGGAUGCGAAUCCAAGGCUGAGAGGGCUUCAUGGCCUAACCCGUUGAACCUGAUCGGGGUCAUCCCCGCGUAGGAAACAGCACUCGGCCACCG